AACGAACGCUGGCGGCAGGCUUAACACAUGCAAGUCGAGCGCCCCGCAAGGGGAGCGGCAGACGGGUGAGUAACGCGUGGGAAUCUACCCAUCUCUGCGGAACAACUCCGGGAAACUGGAGCUAAUACCGCAUACGCCCUUCGGGGGAAAGAUUUAUCGGGGAUGGAUGAGCCCGCGUUGGAUUAGCUAGUUGGUGGGGUAAAGGCCUACCAAGGCGACGAUCCAUAGCUGGUCUGAGAGGAUGAUCAGCCACAUUGGGACUGAGACACGGCCCAAACUCCUACGGGAGGCAGCAGUGGGGAAUAUUGGACAAUGGGCGCAAGCCUGAUCCAGCCAUGCCGCGAGAGUGAUGAAGGCCUUAGGGUUGUAAAGCUCUUUCACCGAUGAAGAUAAUGACGGUAGUCGGAGAAGAAGCCCCGGCUAACUUCGUGCCAGCCGCCGCAGUAA
rnacentral:rRNA from 1 species